rnacentral:tRNA from 1 species
AGUUCCCUAGCUCAGUGGUAGAGCGCCUCCUUGACAUGGAGUAGGUCAGCGGUUCGAUCCCGCUGGGAACUA